AAUCUGCCUUUUGGUUUGGAAUAACACGAGGAAACUUGUGCUAAUACCGGAUAAGCCCUUACGGGGAAAGUUUUAACGCCGAAAGAUGAGCCUGCACUUGAUUAGCUAGUUGGUAAGGUAAAGGCUUACCAGGGCAACGAUCAAUAGCUGUUCUUAGAGGAAGACCAGCCACAUUGGGACUGAGACACGGCCCAGACUCCUACGGGAGGCAGCAGUGGGGAAUCUUGCACAAUGGGGGAAACCCUGAUGCAGCGAUGCCGCGUGAGUGAAGAAGGCCCUUGGGUUGUAAAACUCUUUCGUCGGGGAAGAAAAUGACUGUACCCGAAUAAGAAGGUCCGGCUAACUUCGUGCCAGCAGCCGCGGUAAUACGAAGGGACCUAGCGUAGUUCGGAAUUACUGGGCUUAAAGAGCUCGUAGGUGGUUAAAAAAGUUGAUGGUGAAAUCCCAAGGCUCAACCUUGGAACUGCCAUCAAAACUUUUUAGCUAGAGUGUGAUAGAGGUAAGUGGAAUUUCUAGUGUAGAGGUGAAAUUCUUAGAUAUUAGAAAGAACACCAAAUGCGAAGGCAACUUACUGGGUCAUUACUGACACUGAGGAGCGAAAGCAUGGGUAGCGUAAAGGAUUAGAUACCCUCCGUAUCCAUGCCGUAAACGAUGUGUGC
rnacentral:rRNA from 1 species